rnacentral:rRNA from 1 species
UACGUAGGGUGCGAGCGUUAAUCGGAAUUACUGGGCGUAAAGCGCGCGUAGGCGGUUUCUCGCGUAGGCGGUGAAAGCCCCCGGCUUACCCGGGGGAGGUCCGUCUAAACGGGGAAACUGGAGGGCGGUAGGGGCUGGCGGAACGCCCGGAGUAGCGGUGAAAUGCGUUGAGAUCGGGCAGAACACCAGUGGCGAAGGCGGCCGGCUGGGCCGACCCUGACGCUGAGGCGCGAAAGCCAGGGGAGCGAACGGA